CUCUCUACUUUCGCUUUUGAGGAGAGAGGACGUGUUUUCACGAUGCUGUUCGCUGUGAUAGAUAAUGGAUAGCCUGCUGUAAAUAAAGCUGCUUUUAGCUGCUAAGAACCUGUGUGGAUUUUAUUUAAGCACACUGAAGAAUGCACUGGAGUUUUUGCAGCUUCCUCUAGCCGCUGUUGAUUUCAACUCUGCUAUGCUCAGAUGAGUCGGACUCUUGGAAUGCCGAGACUCUUGGGGGAAGCGUGCCGGACCGGACGCUUAUCUGAGCAAUAAAUCAAUAUAUCCCAGAGGUUAUGGAGGCAGUAAUUGCAAUUAGAGGAAGCCUGCUUUGAUGUGCUGUGUGCUUAAGAAGGCUGGAAAACUGAGAAGCUGUUGUUUUGCUGCCGGAAUGCAAAAGUCCUGCUUUGAGGCUUUGCCUGGGAGAAAGCAGGAAAGCUGGAUGCAAAGCUGUGUGCUGCAAAGCUGAAUGCAAGCUGUGUGCUGCAAGGAGCCACUGGAGGCCUCUCCUUUAAAGCUGGCUGGUACGCGUGAGUACUUCAUCACCCCGAUGGGCGUACUGGGGGAGGAGAUGGCUGAGCUCCAGGACUUUUAUGAUGUCCCGUUUGAAAAGCUCACAACCCAGUCCUGGGAUAUCUGGGUUAGAAGAGUCAGGGGGUGGUUUUUGGCCACAGGGUUCUGGGAUAUAACCCAGAAGGAGCCCGCCCCACCCAUGCCAGUUGCUGCUGAAGAAGGAGGAGCAGAAUGGGAGGCUGCUCUCCUGGAAGAUAGAGAGCUGAGAAUGCAAAGGGAGCUCUGCAUGUUGAGAGCAAGCGUGGACGCUAUGCUGUUGCCCCACCUGGAGGGCGUUGAGUCGGCUCAGGCCGCCUGGCAGGUGCUGAGGAGUCUGUGUGAUAGCUCAGCAGGAGCCCAGGGCCGGGAGAAAGCCGAGAGCAGGCAGGAAGCUGAGAGCCCAGAGGGGGCUGCUGGCCAUGUUCCUGAAGUUACAGCUGGGAGUAGCUGCUUUGUCUCCGAGGGGCCGUGUGAUGUUGAGGCCUACAACCAGAGUGCUGGGGAGCGUGCAGGCCCAGGCUGUGCACCCAAAGGUGGGGGUGCAGGGAACAAAGGAAUGGCUGAAGAGGGAGCUGUGAGAGCUGUUGCUACGCGUCGCCGCUGUUAUCGCUGUGGCUCCCCUCCCAUCUGGUGAGAGAAUGUCCAGUGGAGGAACAGCCCAAGGCCGUCUCCCGUAGCAACCAGAUAAAGAGCUCGUCUUCAAAGCGUGGGAAAGGCAAGCCGAAGGCAGCUGGCAGAGACACUGAACGUAAACAUUUGGCUGCCUCUAUGGCUGUAGUCAAAAGUUGUCAACAGGAUGCUGAGCUGGCUUUUGUUAUCGACUCAGGAUCAUCGCAUCAUCUUGUGCCAUCUAGUGGAUUCCUGGAGAACUGCACCUCUGUAAAAACUGGGAAGACUGUCUGUUUAGCAGAUGGGACUCGACACCCACUCACGCAGAGUGGCUUACUGUUUUGUUCUUUCUUGCAGGACACAAUCCAGGCUUUUGUUGUUCCAGGACUGUCCUGCGCGUUGCUGUCUGUCAGUGCACUUCUUGCUGAAAACUACAGAGUGUGUUUUGAGAACAAUAAGUGUUCUAUUUCCAAGAAUGGACAGCACCUAGUCAGUGUUGAAUGCAAAGACAGGUUGUUUGUGAUAAAUGCUUCUUUUGCAGGUCCAGAUGACACGGAUGACACGGAGGAGGCUCAAGCGCAGUGUGCCAAUGUUCCAGUUCAUGAUGCGUGUCAACAUCUCUGGCACAGACGUAUGGGACACGUUUCGUGGGGGUCGGUGAGAAGGAUCCCAGAGUAUACGCAAGGGUGCAAAAUGAAAUCAUGUGCUAAGUUUCUAGAUUGCAGAGCGUGCAAGUCCGCAAAGGUGAAAACGUGCACAUACCCAAGGUCUGAGAGGGUGACCACCAGGGCUUUUCAAUUAAUUCAUGCAGAUUUGUGUGGUCCGUUUUCUGUGAGCAGUUUGGGCGGAGCCAAAUAUUCGCUGGUUCUGAUUGAUGACCAUACUAGGAAUUCUUGGAGUUUUUUGCUUCGGCGCAAAGAUGAAGCUGCGCCGCUAAUCAAAGACUGGAUUGCGGCUGUGGAACUGCAGUUUUCCACACGGGUGCAAAACUUUCAGAGCGAUCGCGGUGGGGAGUUCACCGGGUCUGCACUGCAAAGUUUCUUCCGCAAAAGGGGAUUCAACACAGGUUGACUUCUCCAUACAGUCCCCAACAGAAUGGGAUCGCGGAACGCAGGAAUAGGACUCUAGGGGAGAUGUCCGCAGCUCUUUUGUUUGAUGCCGGGCUCCCACAGCGCUUUUGGGGGGAGGCUUGGCGAACGGCCAACUUUGUUCUGAACAGGUCGUUCAAUUCAGUGGUAGGUGACACACCGUAUUUCUUGCUCCAUGGCGAGAAACCGAAAGUGCACUACUUCCGCGUUUUUGGCUGUGAGGCUUGGGUCCUCAUACCAAAGGCCAAACGCAAGAAAGGUGAACCCAGGUCCCAGAAGAUGAUUUUCUGUGGGUAUGAGCCAGGGACCAAGGGGUGGAGGUUUGCUUAUCCGUCAGGGAAUCAGUCCAGGAUUCUGCUCAGCAACAGUGCUGAAUUCUGUGAGCAGAGUGGCUGGGCAAGGAUACAUGGGAACCCUGACAUCCUGUCAGAGAGUCUGCUAGACUCUGCUGAUGAAGGAGAGGAAGAGGUUGAACCUGCUACUGAGGCUCAGAGUCCAGGCCCAGUGCAGGCAGAGGGGAGAACUUCUCCCAAGGCUGUGAAGAGUGAGCAACGCAGUGCUCCAUCUUCCCCACAGGUUCGGCUGAGAAGUCCAGAAGGCGCAGUAAGUCAGAGGGGAGCUCUCUGAUGCCAAGGACGUUCUGGCUGGCCCUAGUGGGUCAGAGGGGGUUCCUGAAGUAGUGCUGCGCCGUUCAACGCGGACGACCAAGGGGAAACCUCCUGAAAGGUUUGCCGUCACUAGUGUGUGGGUCGGAAUGGCACAGUGUGAACCCGAGAGUUUUGAGGAUGUUCAGAAACUGCCUCAAGAAGAAGCCAGGAAAUGGCAUGAGGCGAUGCAGAAGGAGAUGAACUCAAUGGAGUCUCUAGGUGUGUUCUCCCUCACGAAGUUGCCGGUGGGUGAAAAGGCAGUGGGUAGCCGCUGGGUUUACCGUCUUAAGCCCACAGCGGCAGGAGAACCGCAGUAUAAGGCCAGAUUAGUGGCGAGAGGAUUCACGCAGCGGAGGGAGUUGCAUUAUACGGAGAGUUAUGCGCCCACGUGUAGGAGUGAGUCUCUACGCUUGGUCUUGGCCAUCGCUGCACAAAGAGGUUUGCUGGUGCAUCACUUUGAUGUGGAUGUUGCUUACUUGAACUCAGACCUCCAGGAGGAUCUGUACAUGCUUCCUCCUCCUGGGUUUGAGGGCAAUGAGCGAGGUACUGUGUGGAAACUUCACAAGUCAAUUUACGGCCUGAAGCAGUCGGCCAGGAAUUGGAACUUGUGCCUGAAUGAAGCUUUGGAGAAGCUAGGUUUCAGGAAGAGUCUUGCUGACAGUUGCCUGUUCCUUAGAGGAUCAGGAGACUCACAGGAACUGGUGUUGUUUUACGUUGAUGACAUCAUCCAUGUUGGAAAGGCAGACAAACAGGUGCAGAAGUUUGCCAAAGAGCUUGGGAAACGGUUUCAGCUCAAGGACCUGGGUGCAGUAAAGAUCUACCUAGGCGUCCAGAUAGCGAGAACUGAGGAUGGUAGCUUCUUGCUCAGUCAGAAAGGCAAGAUUGAGCAGUUGCUGGAGAAGUUCAGAAUGUCCGAUUGUGCAGGAGUUCGGACACCCAUGGAGACGAACUUCGUGAAAGAUAGCCAGCAAGCAGAGAGUGCUGAGUUUGAGAAUGCUGAGCUCUUUCAGUCAGCUCUAGGUAGUCUGUUGUAUCUGUCCCAAUGGAGCAGACCAGACAUUGCCUUUGCUACCAACCUGCUAAGUAGGGAAGCGUCAAAGCCCAGUGUGAGUGCUUGGCACGGUAUCAAGCGGGUACUGCGCUACCUGCAGCAUACCAAAGACUUCUGUCUUAAGCUGCCAGCUGAAGGUGAGGCGAAGCUCACAUGCUAUGCGGACAGUGACUGGGCGAAUUCGCAGGACCGCAAGUCUGUGUCUGGGUUGGUGAUAAAGUUUGGGAAGUCACUGGUUGGGUGGAAGUCCCGGAAGCAAAGUCUCAUUGCGCUGUCUUCUACUGAGGCUGAAUUCAGUGCACUGUCAGACUUGUGCCGAGAACUAGAGUUCUAUAGAUGCUUGGUGCAAGAGAUCUAUGGGGAUUGUAGCUUGCCCAUCACGGUUUGGGAAGACAAUCAGCCUUGUUUGAAGUUGGCUGAAUCUGCGCAAUUUAAAGCGAGAACCAAGCAUCUGGACAUACGUUUCCGAAAUGUGUGUCAGAGUGUUCAGUCAGGUUUGAUACGACUGAAGUACUGUGCCAGUCACAGUAACCUGGCCGAUGGAUUUACCAAACCUUUAAGCUUCCAGCGUCAUGGGGAGUUUUGUGGUGGUUUGGAGUUGGGGGUAAGUUCUGUACUUACUUUCCCCACAGUAGCGCAGGGCGAGAGGGGGUGUGAGGAAAACCUGAGCUUACAGGGUUAAACAGCUCAGGCUGUACGCCCUGCCUACUGUGGAGAGGAGGGGGGAAAUGCUACGUCAGUUCCGAGAGACUAAAGUCUUUGUUCUGUCUCUCUACUUUCGCUUUUGAGGAGAGAGGACGUGUUUUCACGAUGCUGUUCGCUGUGAUAGAUAAUGGAUAGCCUGCUGUAAAUAAAGCUGCUUUUAGCUGCU